CAAUAUAUGCAAUGAACUAUGAG
rnacentral:siRNA from 1 species